rnacentral:lncRNA from 1 species
GGUGGGGGAGGAGGGGGAGGCGGUGGGGGCUGCUGCUGGCGGGAGGCCAGGUUGUUGAUAAUGGCGCGGUGUGUGUAACCUGACAUUCCACCCCGGUCAAAGCUGUUGGCAAACUCCAGCGGAGGGGGCAGUGGGUCCGCAAACACAAACUCAUCAUCCACAUCCACCGAGGGGGCAGGGGGCGGCAGAACCAUGAGGCCACUGCCCCCGGAACCCCCUCCCCCCUGAGGGUGAGACGGGGCGGCUGUAGCGGGGGGAGAUGGAGGGGUGAGAGACAGGAUGUAGCCUGCCUCACUCUCCAUUCUCAGAAACGAGGCCUGGCGAGGCUGCUGGGACGACAGCUGAGGGGGAUGCUGGGUAGGGGCUGUCUGCUGCCUCAUGUACCCCUCUCUGUCCCGCUCCCUCUCUCUCGACCUUUCCCUCUCUCUCGACCUCUCCCUCUGUCUUUCCUCCCUGUAAGUGGGUUGGUAGUGCUGGGACUGGUAGUGAUGUGUGUGGACUGUUUUGUCCUCAGAGAAGCGCACCCUCAGCCCCUCUCUGGCCCCGCCGCCCUCCCUUUCCCGCUCCCCUCCUCCCCCCUCCUCACCCCAGCCUGCACCCCUGAGGAUCCUGGGGGAGGGGGGUCGGCCGGUGGAGGAGGUGGUGGCGGCUAGGGAGGAGGAGGUGACCAGGUAGGAGGAGCUGGAGGAAUGGGUGGCUGAGGAAGCCGGUGUGGGGGAGGUGGCCUGGGAGGGGAACGCCACCACACUGGACAUCUGUCGUACAAACUGGUGCUCGGUCCCUCUCUCCCUCCUCAUCCUGCCGUCGUCCUUCAGGGCCCGCUCCCUGGCAGCCAGGGCCAGGCCCAGGGGGGACGAGGGGUCCAGGACCUUUCCUGUCAGGGGGUGGAUGAAGGUGGUGCCAGAGGGGACCUGCUGCUGCUGCCGGCUUGAUGCCCCGUAGAAGUCAGCCGGAACAGACUUGGGCUGGUAGUCGGGAGCUGGGGAGGAGUACUCUGGCAGGCCGAAGGCAGGGGGCAUGCUGCGGGUGUGGUGGAUGAAGGUGUCCCCAGAGAACAUGCCCUCGUCGAUGGACUUGGAGGGCCGGAGGCGUGGGGAGGGGCCACUGGGCUGGGGGCUGAACUGCUGCUGCUGGGAGGCCUGAGUCCUGCCUGCCACUCCUCCUCCUCCUCCCCCCUGGCCCCACCUCCUC